rnacentral:tRNA from 1 species
CGGGCGAGCCUUGGCUUGUUGCUGAAACCUCCAGCAGACCAUCGCACUGCUUUCACGUGGCAGAGGUCGCUGGUUCGAUCCCAGCAUCGCCCAUCCA